GUAGGUGGCAAGCGUUGUCCGGAAUUAUUGGGCGUAAAGCGCGCGCAGGCGGUCCUUUAAGUCUGAUGUGAAAGCCCACGGCUCAACCGUGGAGGGUCAUUGGAAACUGGGGGACUUGAGUACAGAAGAGGAAAGCGGAAUUCCAAGUGUAGCGGUGAAAUGCGUAGAGAUUUGGAGGAACACCAGUGGCGAAGGCGGCUUUCUGGUCUGUAACUGACGCUGAGGCGCGAAAGCGUGGGGAGCAAACAGGAUUAGAUACCCUGGUAGUCCACGCCGUAAACGAUGAGUGCUAAGUGUUAGGGGGUUUCCCGCCCCCCUUAGUGCUGCAGCUAACGCAUUAAGCGCUCCGCCUGGGGAGUACGGCCGCUAGGCUG
rnacentral:rRNA from 1 species